UCUUCAAUCUACAAACACUCAUAGCAAAUCUUUGGGUACCACAGUGAACCUGGCACUUCAUAAACAUCCCUAUACAUCGUAUACAUAUACCACAGUGGUAGUAAAUGCAGCUGUCUUUCACCUCAUGGAUCAUACAUCAUGGAGGACUAUGGUCUUUAUUUGGAAGAUAUUGCUGGCUGAAGAACAGAAAUCACUCACCCAGGGAAAGAGCCAGGAAGUGGUGAGACUGGUAUUUCAAAUUAGGUUCAAGUUCAAAGCUCACAUCCCACCCACUGCAUGCCUUUGGUUAAUUGGCCUGACAUUUGUGUUUAAUGGGGAGUCUGGAGUCCUUUGAACGUGAUUCCAGUGGAUGAGAACCUGAAGCUGCAUAGUAGUUACCUGUCCAGAGCCUGAGCCAUGAAAUGUUGGCUCUGACAGCACCAAGAUGACGGAAAGAGCAUACUCCCCAGAGCCAGACAUCCUGGUCCAAAUCCUAUUUCUCUUUACUACUGGUGUGAUUACACCUGUUUCUCUGAGCUUGGCUUCUUUGGUUGUAAAGUACAGUGGGGAUGACAGCAUGAGUUGCUGGAAGGAUUGGAUGAGAGACUUCGGUAAAGUCUUUGGAACUGGGUCUGGAACAUGGACUGUCAGCUCACGUCAGUGUAAAUCAGUGGGAACUGGAUCCGUUUGAGCUUUCACUCUGCACCUACCCAUAAAGCAGGAUUUGAUGCCUCAAGGGACCCUUCAAAUAGACCAAACUCCAUGGACAAUGAAUAAAGAAAGACCACUUUCCUAAGUAUUUCAUGGGAAAUAGAGGUUGUGCUUCCUUUAGAAGGCUCAAUAUUGUACCUCAAAAUCUCUAUUGAAGAUCUGGCUGCUUCUGUUCAUUUGCCACUGUAUCCACCUCCUUUUAUACUUCCCUCUUGCAGUUUUUUGGCUUCUGUAAUUGGACUUGCUUUUAGUCUUUUGCUAAUCCUGUUUUCUGCUGCAGACCGAAAGCUCGUAUCCUCAACUCCUAAAGACACUUUCUAGAGAGAUCCACCACCCUUUCUGCCAUGUGAGGACACAAAGUGAAGAUGGUCAUUCAUCUAUGAACCAGAUGGCAGCUCCUCUCCAGAUGCUGAAUCUGCUAGUAUUUUGACCUUGGACUUCCCCACACCCAGAAAUAAAUAAGUGUACUUAGUGUGAGAAAUAGAUAAGUCACUUGGCUUAGGUUAUAUUGUUAUACUAUCCCAUAAUGGACUAAGGCAUACUGAGUCUAUUUCCCUAAUUGCUUAUCUUGUAUAUUCAGUCCCUGAAUCCCAUAUUUUAGUUGUUCUCUUACUGGCAAGAGGUUGACUAAUUUAGAGGAGACUAGGGAUCCAGGUCUUUACUUCUUGGGGAUUAUUCUAUUGUCUCCAAAGUCAAUUGUACUGUGACAUCUUUUGGCUUUUUUUUUAAACAUUAUGAUAAUAAUCCAAUGAUAGAAUGGCUACACAGAAUUUAAGACUCUAAGGGUUGGGAUAUAGCUCAGAGGUACAGUGCUUGUCUAGCCCUGGGUAGUAUUUCUAGCAAACACACACACCAAAAAAAAAUCAGAUUUUUUGAUUCUAAAUAGAAUGUAAACAAAAACCCAGCACUAUAAGAAUUAUGACCAAAAAAAAAAAAAAAAGAACAGGUUAAUAGUUCAUUCAAGAUGCUUCAAAACAAGAAGCCAACUGACCAACUCAGGCCAGAGAACAAAUAUCACAGGUCAUGAGAGUUGAUUUAAGACAGCCAAAUAGCUUUUGCCUUAGGCUACAUAGCACCUUUCCUACCUUUUUCAUUGAUUCAAGUACAGCAAGAUGUUUAGCAAUAGCAUAGACCCCACUGUGGAUGGCUAAGAAGAAAUCCAGAGUCACAUGACUGUCUUCCCUGCUUCUAAGAAUGAACCUGCCACUGACCUGGGUUUUACCUAGUACAGGAGUAGCAUCAUGGACAGCUCUUGAGAUAAUGUUAAGUUUCUUGCAGUCUUUUCUACUUGGAUUAUUCUCACCAGCAUGAACAGUGAUUCAGUAAUAGUUUCAGUAAUAACUAAAAUAUUUUUUAAAAAUCAAUUUCAGCCAGGUAUGGUGGUGCGUACUUGUAAU